rnacentral:rRNA from 1 species
GACGAACGCUGGCGGCGUGCUUAACACAUGCAAGUCGAACGGAAAGGCCCUGCUUUUGUGGGGUGCUCGAGUGGCGAACGGGUGAGUAACACGUGAGUAACCUGCCCUUGACUUUGGGAUAACUUCAGGAAACUGGGGCUAAUACCGGAUAGGAGCUCCUGCUGCAUGGUGGGGGUUGGAAAGUUUCGGCGGUUGGGGAUGGACUCGCGGCUUAUCAGCUUGUUGGUGGGGUAGUGGCUUACCAAGGCUUUGACGGGUAGCCGGCCUGAGAGGGUGACCGGCCACAUUGGGACUGAGAUACGGCCCAGACUCCUCCGGGAGGCAGCAGUGGGGAAUAUUGCACAAUGGGCGGAAGCCUGAUGCAGCAAAGCAGCGUGCGGGAUGACGGCCUUCGGGUUGUAAACCGCUUUCGCCUGUGACGAAGCGUGAGUGACGGUAAUGGGUAAAGAAGCACCGGCUAACUACGUG